AUGAAUUGUCAAGGGGGGGUUGUUGCUGGCCUCUCAUCUGAUAAGCAUGUGCACGCCCCCUUUCUACAUCCAUCCACACCUGUGCACCCUCUGUAGUUCCAAAGUGGGAGAGCCCGUAAGGCUUUCACAAUCUGGCACUAUGUCUCUUUACAAACGCUUUAUGUAUAGAGUGUCGGCUCAGCGUAUAACAAACGCAGAAAUAUAAAA
rnacentral:misc_RNA from 1 species